rnacentral:rRNA from 1 species
ACGAACGCUGGCGGCGUGCCUAAUACAUGCAAGUUGAGCGCUGAAGGUUGGUACUUGUACCCACUGGAUGAGCAGCGAACGGGUGAGUAACGCGUGGGGAAUCUGCCUUUGAGCGGGGGACAACAUUUGGAAACGAAUGCUAAUACCGCAUAAAAACUUUAAACACAAGUUUUAAGUUUGAAAGAUGCAAUUGCAUCACUCAAAGAUGAUCCCGCGUUGUAUUAGCUAGUUGGUGAGGUAAAGGCUCACCAAGGCGAUGAUACAUAGCCGACCUGAGAGGGUGGUCGGCCAAAUUGGGACUGGGACACGGCCCAAACUCCUACGGGAGGCAGCAGUAGGGAAUCUUCGGCAAUGGACGAAAGUCUGACCGAGCAACGCCGAGUGAGUGAAGAAGGGUUUCGGAUCGUAAAACUCUGUUGGUAGAGAAGAACGUUGGUGAGAGUGGAAAGCUCAUCAAGUGACGGUAACUACCCAGAAAGGGACGGCUAACUACGUG